UCGAGAAUCUUCCGCAAUGGGCGAAAGCCUGACGGAGCGACACCGCGUGCAGGACGAAGGCCCUCGGGUUGUAAACUGCUGUCACGCUCUAGGAAUGCCAUGUCGUUAAUAGCGGCAUGGUUGACCAAGGCGAAAGGAAGUGGCGGCUAACUCUGUGCCAGCAGCCGCGGUAAGACAGAGGCCACGAACGUUGUUCGGAAUCACUGGGCAUAAAGCGCACGUAGGCGGCUAGGUCCGUCCAAUGUGAAAGCCCCCGGCUCAACCGGGGAAUUGCAUCGGAUACAGCCUGGCUUGAGGACGGUUGGGGUGAGUGGAACUCCUGGUGGAGCGGUGAAAUGCGUAGAUAUCAGGAGGAACACCGGUGGCGAAAGCGGCUCACUGGACCGUAACUGACGCUGAGGUGCGAAAGCUAGGGGAGCAAACAGGAUUAGAUACCCUUGUAGUCCCUGAGCGGGCUGGCAAGGCGCAU
rnacentral:rRNA from 1 species